rnacentral:lncRNA from 1 species
AUUUGUGUAAAAUAUGAAUUUUCGAAAGUCAAUUAUACAAAUAGGUCCACAUACUCACCCCCAAAGACUUCACAGGUUUGUUUUGUUUUCUUCUGAUCAUAUUCAGACCGUCAUGUAAUCAUCAUUUUGAACUAAAACAAAACUUAGUUACUUGUAAGUUUCCACUAUGUAAUAUAUUUUUUCUUCAAAAUCUAAUUAAUUAAUUGCACAUGUAGACUAAAUUAUAAGAUCGUAAGUUAUAAAAAACUAACAAAUUGCGUUUUCAUGGUGUAAACAUAAAUCUAUAUCACUUUCAUAGUGUAAACACAAGCCAC